GUGAUCGGUGAUGAUGUGCAUUUGUUUGCCUGACUACCUUGUGGAUAAUGAAGGCAACUCAGUCACUACCUCUUCUGAGACAC